rnacentral:lncRNA from 1 species
CUGUUGCUAGGAAACCAAAGGGCUACACUUCCAUCAUCUCCAUACUUGCUAGGAGAUUGAGUAAUUGGUGUCUGGAUAGAAAGGGAAGCCAGAGAAGCGUUUGGGACUCGUGAGCUUGGUUCCCCGGUGUCACACUUGAAAACUGCUAAGCUUAUGCCUUCCCUACGGGCCACGUGCUUUUGUGUUCUUGAAAAUGCAUCAAGAAUUGGGAAACUUACAGUCUGGUUCUAGGUCUGCACAUGCCAAGUGGGGAAAGGCAGCCGGGAGUCCUCAUGAGACAGUCAGAAGGGAAAUGCCGGAAUGCAUGGACACACACUUUAUGGACGGUCAGAAGGGAAAUGCCGGAAUGCAUGGACACACACUUUUAUGGGAUGCAGAGGGUGUGAGCAGAAGCUGCUGCAUCUUCUCGCUGUGUUCCUGAGGGACUUAUUCAUUUAUUCAGCAAGUAUUUCUUUGAGGCAUUGCUGCUGCCAAUCCCUCAUUAGGUAUUCAUUUCCCUGAUUAGGUAUUCAUUCCCCUCAUUAGGUAUGCAGUCACAUGGUCCAGUCACAUGGUCAGCGUCCCUCAUCAUUUAUCCUGUGCACACAGUUCCAGGGAACAAUGAGGCUUAUUCCCGACAGCACCACAGGCGUGAUAGCUCCCUCCCUCCACUAAAUUCUCCUCAUUCUCCGAGGCUAAACCUUUACCCACUGUGAAGAAUUUUCUCAAAUCAUUCCCACGAGUGUCUGUCUGAUUUUGUGCUUGAACACUCCCAGGGACACAAACCUCAGACGCUUCCUGCGAUAAUGAAUGCCAGUGUCUAACCAUCGUGCAAGCAGAUGUUCCUUAGGAAAAACAAAUAAAAUUAAAGCUAUCUUUGGGUUAGCAAAUUCCCCACCUCCUCCUUUGGCUGAGCAGGCAAAUAAGCAAGCAAGUUUUCCACCUU